AGUUAGUCCGCAUUAGCGGCGUGUUUUCCUUGAGUGGACGCCGCGCUGCAUUGGAGGCUAACGGGAGCGCGAGUCUGUUCGUGACAAAGACAAACCCGAACAAGUCUCUAUUCGAGUUUAGACUCCCCUCUCCUGGUUUCGUACGCCACACAGUUCGCGAGCUCAACCCGAACGGCUGUAUGAAGAGUGUUUACCUUUCUCGGCGACUCGGCUUUUACAGUUGGGCUCGAAGUGAUUUCUGCUCCUCAGCCCGCUCACCUCCGCCAUCUUGGAACUCAGCUAACAGCCGUGCUGACGUCACAGCAUGCAUUUGUGUCCCGCCGCCGGGGUUCGCCAUGCACCUAACGCUGCUUGUUUUUGUCGCUUGAAAAAGAACAUUUAAACUCAACAUAUUUUCAUUCACAUCAAAGACGACGGAAGGUGUCACCUUAGCAACUUUAACCCUUCACGGAUGAUUCUUUCAACUCUUACAGUCUGUCCCGACCCGGGAUGGCCCCCGAGGGGUGGGAAUGUUCCACUGUGCAGCCGGCCAUGACAAGCCCAUGUUGGGCCGGGCCUCCGCACUCCAUUCCACGAGGGACGUGAUUGACAGGUCUCACUGAGACCCUCAGGUGCCGCUGUGAAAGGUGGGAGUGGGGGUCAACAGAGCAGCAGUUCACUUCUACUCAUUAAUCAUCAGACUGGACAGCCACAGACGGGAGACUCUGGAGGUGGAUA